UACGUAGGGUGCAAGCGUUAAUCGGAAUUACUGGGCGUAAAGGGUGCGCAGGCGGUUUAUCAAGAAAGGUGUGAAAUCCCCGGGCUCAACCUGGGAAUGGCACUUUUAACUGAUAGGCUAGAGUAUGUCAGAGGGGGGUAGAAUUCCACGUGUAGCAGUGAAAUGCGUAGAGAUGUGGAGGAAUACCGAUGGCGAAGGCAGCCCCCUGGGAUAAUACUGACGCUCAUGCACGAAAGCGUGGGGAGCAAACAGG
rnacentral:rRNA from 2 species